GAGGGCUUAACUGUCUCCUGUAGCCAAUCAAUGAAAUUGAUCUCACAGUACAAAUGCUGUGAUAUAACUAUAAGACGAGAAGACCCUGUGGAGCUUUAAACCUUCCACAUUAACUAAUUACCCUUAACUACCAUUAGUAUAACGUGAGUUUUAAGUUGGGGCGACUAUGGAGUAAAAAUUAACCUCCAAGUAAUACGAUUAAACCUCGUUACACACGGCUAACAAGCCUAGUCAAAACACACGACCCAGUCAAACUGACUAUCGAACCAAGUUACCCCAGGGAUAACAGCGCCAUCCCCUUAAAGAGUCCACAUCG
rnacentral:rRNA from 1 species